AUGCGUCGGCCGGCGUGCGCGCUGGCAAGGUUGGGCGGGACCUGGCGGUUGGCGGCGGCUCGAUCCACUCCUAAUCGGGAGCUGAGCCUGCAUCUCCGCCACUGCGCCUUGUUUCUCUCUCCACCGCCACCUCUCCUCGCCUCUCCUUCCAAUGUCGGUCGCCGCCGCCCUCCCCGUACCUCCCCCUCAUGGCUCCUCUCUUUAUCACCGGCGCCAUGGCUGUGCUCGGAGGAGGACCGCCGAUGCCAGGUUGACGAGGAUGAUGAGGUAACUGUUGGCGAGGGCAAAGCGAAGUCGUCAGAUCCGUCACCACCGCUAUUCUCCUAUUCACCACCGCCGCUGUUCUCCUACUCGCCGCCUCCGUCGUCCACAUGCUCCUCCUCACGACCAUGA
rnacentral:rRNA from 1 species